AGCGAACGCUGGCGGCAGGCCUAACACAUGCAAGUCGAACGAACUCUUCGGAGUUAGUGUCGUCCGGUUGAGUAACCCGUGGGAACGUGCCUUUAGGGUCGGAAUACCUCAGGGAAACUUGUUCUAAUACCGAAUGUGCCCUUCUGGGGAAAGAUUUUUCGCCUUUCAAGCGGCCCGCGUCUGAUUAGCUAGUUGGUUAGGUAAAGGCUCACCAAGGCGACGAUCAGUAGCUGGUCUGAGAGGAUGAUCAGCAACAUUGGGACUGAGAAACGGCCCAAACUCCUACGGGAGGCAGCAGUGGGGAAUCUUGCGCAAUGGGCGAAAGCAUGACGCAGCCAUGCCGGGUGAAUGAUGAAGGUAUUAGGAUUGUAAAAUGCUUUCACCGGGGAAGAUAAUGACGGUACCAGGAGAAGAAGCCCCGGCUAACUUCGUG
rnacentral:rRNA from 1 species